rnacentral:tRNA from 1 species
GGGCCUAUAGCUCAGCUGGUCAGAGCACCUCGUUUACACCGAGGGGGCCGGGGGUUCGAGUCCCUCUGGGCCCACCA